GACGAACGCUGGCGGCGUGCCUAAUACAUGCAAGUCGAACGCAGUGGGGACGGGUGAGUAACACGUCGUUAACCCCCCAUCAGAGGGGAUACCACUUGGAAACAGGUGCUAAACCGAUACUGAUGGAUGGACCCGCGGUGCAUUAGCUAGUUGGUGAGUUAACGGCUCACCAAGGCCACGAUGCAGAGCCGACCUGGGAGGGUGAUCGGCCACACUGGGACUGGAAAACGGCCAAGACUACUACGGGAGGCAGCAGUAGGGAAUAUUCGGAAAUGGACGAAAGUCUGGCCGAGCACCGACGCGUGAAAGAAGCAGAUAGUCGGAUCGUAAAACUGUAUUGUUAGAGAAACGGUAUCUAACAAGAAAGACACAGCUAACUACGGGCCAGCAGCCGCGGUAAUAC
rnacentral:rRNA from 1 species